rnacentral:piRNA from 1 species
CAGAAGGAUUGUGUAAGCUGAACACAAAU